AGAGAGAGACAUGCGCGCAUAUCAAUAAGCGGAGGAAAAGAAACUAACAAGGAUUCCCUUAGUAACGGCGAGCUGAAGCGGGAAGAGCUCAAAUUUGAAAUCUUCAAGGUUUUACCUUGACGAAUUGUAGUUUAAAGAAGUGUUUUCUGCUGAAGUUUUGGUAAAAGUUCUUUGGAAUAGGACAUCAUAGAGGGUGAGAAUCCCGUAUUUGACCAUUAUUUUCAGCUUUGUGAUACACUUUCAAAGAGUCGGAUUGUUUGGGAAUGCAGUCCAAAAUGGGUGGUAAAUUUCAUCUAAAGCUAAAUAUUGGCGAGAGACCGAUAGCGAACAAGUACCGUGAGGGAAAGAUGAAAAGAACUUUGAAAAGAGAGUUAAACAGUACGUGAAAUUGUCAAAAGGGAAGCGUUUGACACCAGUGUUGUUUUCUCGAAAAUCAAUUAAAAAUGGCUCGAUUUUGUAUUGCUUGAGACCUUAAAAGCUCACUGUACAUUUUUCGUAUCUUUUUUAAUGCACUUUUCGUUUAACAAGUCAACAUCAGUUUCUUUUGUUGUAAAAAGGGUCAUUGGAAGGUGGCUUUCUUUUCGGAGAAAGUGUUUAUAGCCUUUGGCCUCUGCAAUCGAAGAGACUGAGGUCUGCAGCGUAGACUCUUCGGGGUUAGAUACAUUUGUGCUAAGUUAUAGCUUUUUAUAGACAACUUGUUGACUAUAAUUAGUCUUGUAGCUUACUCGCUUAUGCUAUUUUACCUACGCUUAGGAUGUUGAAGAUGUAGCACAUCA
rnacentral:rRNA from 1 species